rnacentral:rRNA from 1 species
GACGAACGCUGGCGGCGUGCCUAACACAUGCAAGUCGAGCGAAUGAAGUUCCUUCGGGAAUGGAUUUAGCGGCGGACGGGUGAGUAACACGUGGGCAACAUGCCUCAUAGAGGGGAAUAGCCUCCCGAAAAGGAGAUUAAUACCGCAUAAGAUUGUAGUACCGCAUGAUACAGCAAUUAAAGGAGCAAUCCGCUAUGAGAUGGGCCCGCGGCGCAUUAGCUAGUUGGGGAGGUAAUGGCUCACCAAGGCGACGAGGCGUAGCCGACCUGAGAGGGUGAUCGGCCACAUUUGGACUGCGGCCCGGCCCAGACUGCUACGGGGCGCAGCAGUGGAGAGUACUGCACGAUGAGGGAAGCCGUGAUGCAGCCACGCCGCGUGAGUGAUGCCGGCCUUCGGGUUGUAAAGCUCUGUCUUCAGGGACGAUAAUGACGGUACCUGAGGAGGAAGCCACGGCUAACUACGUG